UACGGAGGGUGCAAGCGUUAAUCGGAAUUACUGGGCGUAAAGGGUGCGUAGGUGGUUUAAUAAGUUAUGUGUAAAAUCCCUGGGCUUAACCUGGGAAGGUCAGAUAAGACUGUUAGACUCGAGUAUGGGAGAGGGUAGUGGAAUUUCCGGUGUAGCGGUGAAAUGCGUAGAGAUCGGAAGGAACACCAGUGGCGAAGGCGGCUACCUGGCCUAAUACUGACACUGAGGCACGAAAGCGUGGGGAGCAAACAGG
rnacentral:rRNA from 1 species